GUUCCCAUUUCGAACACAGCCGUUAAGCUUCCCAGCGCCGAGGAUAGUGAAGGGUUUCCCUUUGUGAAAGCAGGACGUUGCCGUGC
rnacentral:rRNA from 1 species